rnacentral:sRNA from 1 species
UGAAAUCCAUGACCAACGGUUACCACCCA